GUUGAAGUGGCAGAGUACGGCAAUUGCAUAAAAUUUAAGCUUUUAUACUCAGAGGUUCAAAUCCUCUCUUCAACAA
rnacentral:tRNA from 1 species